GUGGGUAUAGCUCAGUGGUAAAGUGUAUGUUUAACAUGCAUGAGGUCCUGGGUUCAAUCCCCAAUAUCUCUA
rnacentral:tRNA from 1 species